rnacentral:rRNA from 1 species
AUUGAACGCUGCCGCCGGCCUUACAACUGCCAAUCGAGCGGAGCGGCGGACGGGUGAGUGAUGCCUAGGAUUCUGCCUGGUAGCGGGUGAACACGUCCGGAUACGGGCGCUAAUACCGAAUACUAUCAGCUGCGCCUAGGUCGGAUUAGCUAGUUGCGGGGGUAACGGCCAACCAAGGCGACGUUCCGUAACUGGUCUGCGAGGAUGAUCAGUCACACUGGAACGUAGACACGGUCCAGACUCCUACGGGAGGCAGCAGUGGGGAAUAUUGGACAAUGGGCGAAAGCCUGAUGCAGCCAUGCCGCGUGUGUGAAGAAGGGCUUCGGAUUGUAAAGCACUUUCAGCUGGGAGGCGUUACCAACAGAAUAAGCACCGGCUAACUACGUGCCAGCAGCCGCGGUAAUAC